GAUCUGCCUCGUACUUGCUGCUCUCAAUGUACAACGAGUGUACAGAGCCACCAGUCGCAGAAUUGGUUAGGGACCCAACGCCAGACGACAGCUGUGUGAGCAGGCCGACUCAGGAAGGGGCAGCCAUUCAAUCACGCAUGUGCAAGCACUGGACAACACACAAGCUGAGGAGGCCACUGGAGGCAGCGAUGCGGACCAGCAGGCUCAAGCGCCCAUGCAGAACCGCACAAGACGACGACACGUGCAAACUGUCCCAACAGGAAUCAGAGGUCUCCAGGCUAUGGGGCUUGAGCUCCUACGAAGGACAGAAGAGACAGAGUUUAUUCACCGCCGGAAGGAAAUAGACAUCCAACAGAGACGGCUUGAUUAUGAUGAAAGGUGCCUGGCCCUUGAAGAACGAAAGCAGGCGGCAGAAGAAGCACUGAAAAAACUCGAUGCCCAGCAGCACGACGAAAAUAUAAAAAUGCUUUCCAGCAUUAAAACUGCGCUCGAGGAACAGCAGAAACA